rnacentral:rRNA from 1 species
UUACAAGCUGUGGAAGCACAUUUCUUGUGUGACCGCGUACUUUUUGUAGAACGGGCCAACGAGUUACGUUAAGUAGCAAGGUUAAGCACUUAAGGUGCGGAGCCGUAGCGAAAGCGAGUUUUAACUGAGCGUUCAGUUACUUGACGUAGACACGAAACCGGGCGACCUACCCAUGAGCAGGAUGAAGCGAAAGUAAAAUUUCGUGGAGGUCCGAACCCACGAGCGUUGAAAAGCUCGGGGAUGACUUGUGGGUAGCGGUGAAAUUCCAAUCGAGCCCGGAGAUAGCUGGUUCUCCCCGAAAUAGCUUUAGGGCUAGCCUCAAGGUGAGAGAUACGGAGGUAGAGCACUGAAUGUCCUAGGGG